UACGGGGGGUGCGAGCGUUGUCCGGAAUCACUGGGCGUAAAGGGCGCGUAGGCGGUUUGAUAAGGCUGUGGUGAAAGCCCGGGGCUCAACCCCGGGUCUGCCGUGGCGACUGUCAGACUGGAGGGCUCGAGAGGCAGACGGAAUUCCGGGUGUAGCGGUGGAAUGCGUAGAGAUCCGGAAGAAGACCGGUGGCGAAGGCGGUCUGCUGGCGAGUACCUGACGCUGAGGCGCGACAGCGUGGGGAGCAAACAGG
rnacentral:rRNA from 1 species